rnacentral:rRNA from 1 species
AACGAACGCUGGCGGCAUGCCUAACACAUGCAAGUCGAACGAGACCUUCGGGUCUAGUGGCGCACGGGUGCGUAACGCGUGGGAACCUGCCCUUAGGUUCGGAAUAACUCCCCGAAAGGGGUGCUAAUACCGGAUAAUGUCUUCGGACCAAAGAUUUAUCGCCUUUGGAUGGGCCCGCGUUGGAUUAGCUAGUUGUUAGGGUAAAAGCCUACCAAGGCGACGAUCCAUAGCUGGUCUGAGAGGAUGAUCAGCCACACUGGGACUGAGACACGGCCCAGACUCCUACGGGAAGCAGCAGUGGGGAAUAUUGGACAAUGGGCGAAAGCCUGAUCCAGCGAGGCCGCGUGAGUGAUGAAGGCCUUAGGGUUGUAAAGCUCUUUUACCCGGGAUGAUAAUGACAGUACCGGGAGAAUAAGCUCCGGCUAACUCCGUG